rnacentral:siRNA from 1 species
UCCAAAAAUUGCCUUACACUC